rnacentral:sRNA from 1 species
UCCGUCGAAAUGGUGUCGGUAGCCCCACA